rnacentral:rRNA from 1 species
AAGAGGGAAACAACCCAGACCGCCGGCUAAGGUCCCAAAGUCAUAAUUAAGUGGGAAACGAAGUGGGAAGGCUCAGACAGCCAGGAUGUUGGCUUAGAAGCAGCCAUCAUUUAAAGAAAGCGUAAUAGCUCACUGGUCGAGUCGGCCUGCGCGGAAGAUGUAACGGGGCUAAAUUAUGCACCGAAGCCGCGGCAGCGAUAUGUAAAUAUUGUUGGGUAGGGGAGCGUUCUGUAAGCCUGUGAAGGUGUGCUGUGAGGCAUGCUGGAGGUAUCAGAAGUGCGAAUGCUGACAUAAGUAACGAUAAUGCGGGUGAAAAACCCGCACGCCGGAAGACCAAGGGUUCCUGUCCAACGUUAAUCGGGGCAGGGUGAGUCGACCCCUAAGGCGAGGCUGAAAAGCGUAGUCGAUGGGCAACGGGUUAAUAUUCCCGUACUGGUGGUAACUGCGAAGGGGGGACGGAGAAAGCUAAAUCAUCCGGGCGACGGUUGUCCCGGUUUAAGCGUGCAGGUGGACUGACCAGGCAAAUCCGGUCGGUUGUUAACACUGAGGCGUGACGACGAGCCACCACGGUGGUGAAGUGAUUGAUGCUCUGCUUCCGGGAAAAGCCUCUAAGCUCCAGGUUACCAUUAAUCGUACCCCAAACCGACACAGGUGGUCAGGUAGAGAAUACUCAGGCGCUUGAGAGAACUCGGGUGAAGGAACUAGGCAAAAUGGUGCCGUAACUUCGGGAGAAGGCACGCUGGCAUUAGGUGAAGUGGUUUACCCACGGAGCUGAAGCCAGCCGCAGAUACCAGCUGGCUGCAACUGUUUAUUAAAAACACAGCACUGUGCAAACACGAAAGUGGACGUAUACGGUGUGACGCCUGCCCGGUGCCGGAAGGUUAAUUGAUGAGGUCAGCCGCAAGGCGAAGCUUCUGAUCGAAGCCCCGGUAAACGGCGGCCGUAACUAUAACGGUCCUAAGGUAGCGAAAUUCCUUGUCGGGUAAGUUCCGACCUGCACGAAUGGCGUAAUGAUGGCCAGGCUGUCUCCACCCGAGACUCAGUGAAAUUGAACUCGCUGUGAAGAUGCAGUGUACCCGCGGCAAGACGGAAAGACCCCGUGAACCUUUACUAUAGCUUGACACUGAACAUUGAGCCUUGAUGUGUAGGAUAGGUGGGAGGCAACGAAGCGUGGACGCCAGUCUGCGCGGAGCCAUCCUUGAAAUACCACCCUUUAACGUUUGAUGUUCUAACCCGGGUCCAUAAUCUGGAUCGGGGACCGUGUCUGGUGGGUAGUUUGACUGGGGCGGUCUCCUCCCAAAGAGUAACGGAGGAGCACGAAGGUUGGCUAAGCAUGGUCGGACAUCAUGCGGUUAGUGCAAAGGCAUAAGCCAGCUUGACUGCGAGAGUGACGGCUCGAGCAGGUACGAAAGUAGGUCUUAGUGAUCCGGUGGUUCUGAAUGGAAGGGCCAUCGCUCAACGGAUAAAAGGUACUCCGGGGAUAACAGGCUGAUACCGCCCAAGAGUUCAUAUCGACGGCGGUGUUUGGCACCUCGAUGUCGGCUCAUCACAUCCUGGGGCUGAAGUAGGUCCCAAGGGUAUGGCUGUUCGCCAUUUAAAGUGGUACGCGAGCUGGGUUUAGAACGUCGUGAGACAGUUCGGUCCCUAUCUGCCGUGGGCGCUGGAAGAUUGAGAGGGGUUGCUCCUAGUACGAGAGGACCGGAGUGAACGCACCACUGGUGUACGGGUUGUGAUGCCAAUUGCAUUGCCCGGUAGCUAAGUGCGGAAGAGAUAACCGCUGAAAGCAUCUAAGCGGGAAACUUGCCUCGAGAUGAGUCUUCCCUGACCCUUUAAGGGUCCUGAAGGAACGUUUGAGACUAAGACGUUGAUAGGCUGGGUGUGUAAGCGCAGCGAUGCGUUGAGCUGACCAGUACUAAUGAACCGGGAGGCUUAACCUG